rnacentral:rRNA from 1 species
GAAUAUUGGACAAUGGGGGGAACCCUGCUCCAGCCAUGCCGCGUGUGUGAAGAAGGCCUUUUGGUUGUAAAGCACUUUAAGCGAGGAGGAGGCUACUCUCGUUAAUACCUACAGAUAGUGGACGUUCCUCACAGAAUAAGCCCCGGCUAACUCUGUGCCCGCAGCCGCGGUAAUACAGAGGGUGCAAGCGUUAAUCGGAUUUACUGGGCGUAAAGCGCGCGUAGGUGGCCAAUUAAGUCAAAUGUGAAAUCCCCGAGCUUAACUUGGGAAUUGCAUUCGAUACUGGUUGGCUAGAGUAUGGGAGAGGAUGGUAGAAUUCCAGGUGUAGCGGUGAAAUGCGUGGAGAUCUGGAGGAAUACCGAUGGCGAAGGCAGCCGUCUGGCCUAAUACUGACACUGAGGUGCGAAAGCAUGGGGAGCAAAC